rnacentral:rRNA from 1 species
GACGAAGGUGGCAAGCGUUAUUCGGAUUUACUGGGCGUAAAGGGCGCGUAGGCGGAUUUGCAAGUCAGAGGUGAAAGCCCUGGGCUCAACCCGGGAAUGGCCUUUGAGACUGCAAGUCUUGAGUGCGAGAGAGGGUGGCGGAAUACCCAGUGUAGAGGUGAAAUUCGUAGAUAUUGGGUAGAACACCAGUGGCGAAGGCGGCCACCUGGCUCGCAACUGACGCUGAGGCGCGAAAGCGUGGGGAGCAAACAGG